ACCAUGCAGUCGACGAUGAGCCUAGCUUGCUAGGUGGAUUAGUGGCGAACGGGUGAGUAAUACGUGAGUAACCUACCUUUAACUCUGGGAUAAGCCUGGGAAACUGGGUCUAAUACCGGAUACGACCAAUCUCCGCAUGGGGUGUUGGUGGAAAGCGUUAUGUAGUGGUUAUAGAUGGGCUCACGGCCUAUCAGCUUGUUGGUGAGGUAACGGCUCACCAAGGCGACGACGGGUAGCCGGCCUGAGAGGGUGACCGGCCACACUGGGACUGAGACACGGCCCAGACUCCUACGGGAGGCAGCAGUGGGGAAUAUUGCACAAUGGGCGCAAGCCUGAUGCAGCGACGCCGCGUGAGGGAUGACGGCCUUCGGGUUGUAAACCUCUGUUAGCAGGGAAGAAGAGAAAUUGACGGUACCUGCAGAGAAAGCGCCGGCUAACUACGUGCCAGCAGCCGCGGUAAUACGUAGGGCGCGAGCGUUGUCCGGAAUUAUUGGGCGUAAAGAGCUUGUAGGCGGUUUGUCGCGUCUGCUGUGAAAGGCCGGGGCUUAACCCCGUGUAUUGCAGUGGGUACGGGCAGACUAGAGUGCAGUAGGGGAGACUGGAACUCCUGGUGUAGCGGUGGAAUGCGCAGAUAUCAGGAAGAACACCGAUGGCGAAGGCAGGUCUCUGGGCUGUAACUGACGCUGAGAAGCGAAAGCAUGGGGAGCGAACAGGAUUAGAUACCCUGGGUAGUCCA
rnacentral:rRNA from 1 species